AACGAACGCUGGCGGCAGGCUUAACACAUGCAAGUCGAGCGCCCCGCAAUGGGAGCGGCAGACGGGUGAGUAACGCGUGGGAAUCUACCCAUCUCUACGGAAUAACGCACGGAAACGUGUGCUAAUACCGUAUACGUCCUUCGGGAGAAAGAUUUAUCGGAGAUGGAUGAGCCCGCGUUGGAUUAGCUAGUUGGUGGGGUAAAGGCCUACCAAGGCGACGAUCCAUAGCUGGUCUGAGAGGAUGAUCAGCCACACUGGGACUGAGACACGGCCCAGACUCCUACGGGAGGCAGCAGUGGGGAAUAUUGGACAAUGGGCGCAAGCCUGAUCCAGCCAUGCCGCGUGAGUGAUGAAGGCCCUAGGGUUGUAAAGCUCUUUCACCGGUGAAGAUAAUGACGGUAACCGGAGAAGAAGCCCCGGCUAACUUCGUGCCAGCCGCCGCGGUAACAC
rnacentral:rRNA from 1 species